AUUGAACGCUGGCGGAAUGCUUUACACAUGCAAGUCGAACGGCAGCACGGACUUCGGUCUGGUGGCGAGUGGCGAACGGGUGAGUAAUGUAUCGGAACGUGCCCAGUCGUGGGGGAUAACGUAGUGAAAAUUACGCUAAUACCGCAUACGAUCUAUGGAUGAAAGCGGGGGAUCGCAAGACCUCGCGCGAUUGGAGCGGCCGAGAUCAGAUUAGGGAGUUGGUGGGGUAAAGGCCCACCAAGCCAACGAUCUGUAGCUGGUUUGAGAGGACGACCCGGCACACUGGAACUGUGACACGGGCCAGACUCCGACGGGAGGCAGCAGUGGGGAAUUUUGGACAAUGGGCGAAAGCCUGAUCCAGCCAGUCCGCGUGCAGGAUGAAGGCCCUCGGGUUGUAAACUGCUUUUGUACAGAACGAAAAGGUUUCUACUAAUACUAGGAGCUCAUGACGGUACUGUAAGAAUAAGCACCGGCUAACUACGUGCCAGCCGCCGCCGUAA
rnacentral:rRNA from 1 species